GAUGAACGCUGGCGGCGUGCCUAAUACAUGCAAGUCGUGCGGACAGACGAGGAGCUUGCUCUUAUAACGUUAGCGGCGGACGGGUGAGUAACACGUGGACAACCUACCUGUAAGACUGGGAUAACUUCGGGAAACCGGGGCUAAUACCGGAUAAUAUAUUCACCCGCAUGGUUCAAUAGUAAAAGCCGGUUUUGCUGUCACUUAUAGAUGGACCCGCGGCGCAUUAGCUAGUUGGUAGGGUAACGGCUUACCAAGGCGACGAUGCGUAGCCGACCUGAGAGGGGGAACCGCCCAAUCGGGAAUGAGAACAGGGCCCAAACUCCAACGGGAGGCGGCGUAGGGAAAUCUUCGGCAAAGGGGGAAGGCUUGACGAGGCAACGCGGCGGGGGUAAGAAGGGUCUCGGGAUGGUAAAACCCGUUGAUGGGGAAGAAACAGAGGCGUAAGAAAAUGGCGGCGUCUUGACGGUACCUGGUCAGAAAGCCACGGCUAACUACGUG
rnacentral:rRNA from 1 species